UACGAAGGGGGCUAGCGUUGCUCGGAAUCACUGGGCGUAAAGAGCUCGUAGGUGGUUUGUCGCGUUGUUCGUUGAAAACUCACAACAUCAAUUGUGGGCGUGCGGGCGAUACGGGCAGACUGGAGUACUGCAGGGGAGACUGGAAUUCCUGGUGUAGCGGUGGAAUGCGCAGAUAUCAGGAGGAACACCGGUGGCGAAGGCGGGU
rnacentral:rRNA from 1 species